AAAAAGUGAAGUAUGCUGUUGCAUUCACAGUUUUCAACUGCUUUUUGUUUAAAUAGGAGGAUGGUGUUAUUAAAGAGUUAAGCAUUGCCAUGCAGCUCCUAAGAAACUGUCUUUAUCAAAAUGAGGAAUGUAAAGAAGCAGCUCUUGAAGCUCACCUUGUCCCUGUCUUGCACUCUCUCUGGCCUUGGAUUUUGAUGGAUGAUUCAUUGAUGCAAAUUUCUCUGCAGCUCCUUUGUGUCUAUACUGCAAAUUUUCCAAAUGGUUGCAGUUCUCUUUGUUGGUCAAGUUGUGGACAACACCCUGUUCAAGCUACACAUAGAGGAGCCGUGAGCAACUCUCUGAUGCUGUGUAUCCUAAAGUUGGCUUCCCAGAUGCCACUGGAGAACACCACGGUUCAGCAGAUGGUUUUUAUGCUUCUUUCAAACCUGGCCUUGUCGCAUGACUGUAAAG
rnacentral:lncRNA from 1 species